AAGGCUUGACAUAUAGUUGAGUUAUUGAGAAAUUGAUAAGUCCCUCGGGACAACUAUACAGGUGGUGCAUGGUU
rnacentral:rRNA from 2 species